UACGAAGGGGGCUAGCGUUGCUCGGAAUCACUGGGCGUAACGCGCACGUAGGCGGCUUUCUAAGUCAGGGGUGAAAUCCUGGAGCUCAACUCCAGAACUGCCUUUGAUACUGGAGAGCUUGAGUCCGGAAGAGGUGAGUGGAACUCCGAGUGUAGAGGUGAAAUUCGUAGAUAUUCGGAAGAACACCAGUGGCGAAGGCGGCUCACUGGUCCGGUACUGACGCUGAGGUGCGAAAGCGUGGGGAGCAAACAGG
rnacentral:rRNA from 1 species